AGCCCCAGCGCGGGCGCAGCCAUGUUGUUCCGCGGGUCAUGUGACCCCAUAGGUCACGUGACCUUGCCCACCUUAAGGGGAGCGAAGGCAGACACUGAGCUCACAGGACUAGCCGUGAGAGUUGCGCUUUCACCUUCUUCCAGUUUGCCGAGAACAGUCCCACACAUUUUCUCAGCUGAAAUCACAACCAAUUGGCAAGAAACCUAUUAUUAUUAUAAUACCAUUUUUCAACUGAGGAGGCUGAAAAGACUCCUCUUGCCUGCUGGUUCCGGGACUCAAGGAGUCCAACAUGUCCUGAUGGCAGCCAUGGCUUGUAGUUCGAUG